rnacentral:lncRNA from 1 species
CCAGAAGUUUUAUUGCUUGAGAUGAGGGAGAGGUAAGUAACAAAAUAUACUUGAAACCACCAAAGCCAAAUGCAUAGUUAUAAUAUUUAGUAACAGUAACACGUAAAUCUCAUCGGCUGUCGAGGGAGUUUAACUUGUUAAUGGAAGCUGAUGUUUGUUUGUUCCUCUAUACGAUAAACUUAAACAUUGUAAACUACGUAAACUUGAUGCUAAUACAACAACUGGGUGGAUCGAGUUCCAUCCGCCUGUUCCUACAAACGCCCUUCCCUGAUCCAUAUAUAUAUCUGAAGAUCUCCUCCCCUGAUUUUGUUUAAGCAUCGAGGUGGAUGGAACUCGAUCCACCUAGUAUUAACAUCCUACAAAAAAAUUUCAAAAGUUAAAGGAAGUACAUCAAAAGACGAAUGAAGAAGAACAAGGUUACGGCGAACAAAAUGACAGCCAGAAGAAAGAAACAGAGGGCAACUUCCUGGUUAGGGUUCUUGCUGUUGUUGUUGUUGCCACCUUUGUCCCCUCUCCUGCGACGUCGAAGCGGUCGCAUGGGUUUGUCAAUCUCUUUGUCUCUUGGCAUGUGGUUUCUUUGUUUUUCCCUCCACAGCAAUAAUUAUGCAACGCUGCAUAUAAGUUUAAGAGUGCUGAUACCCGUAGCUGCAAAAUUUAAGAGUUUGAGGACCGAGUCUUGUAAACU